UACGGGGGGGGGCAAGCGUUGUUCGGAAUUACUGGGCGUAAAGGGUUCGUAGGUGGCCAACUAAGUCAAACGUGAAAUCCCUCAGCUUAACUGGGGAACUGCGUCUGAUACUGGUUGGCUUGAGUGCAGGAGAGGAAUGCGGAAUUCCAGGUGUAGCGGUGAAAUGCGUAGAUAUCUGGAGGAACACCGGUGGCGAAGGCGGCACCU
rnacentral:rRNA from 1 species